rnacentral:rRNA from 1 species
UACAGAGGUGGCAAGCGUUGUUCGGAAUUACUGGGCGUAAAGAGCUCGUAGGCGGUUUGUCGCGUCUGCUGUGAAAUCCCGAGGCUCAACCUCGGGUCUGCAGUGGGUACGGGCAGACUGGAGUGCGGUAGGGGAGAAUGGAAUUCCUGGUGUAGCGGUGGAAUGCGCAGAUAUCAGGAGGAACACCGAUGGCGAAGGCAGAUCUCUGGGCCGUAACUGACGCUGAGGAGCGAAAGCAUGGGGAGCGAACAGG